AAAGGAACUGGACCGACCCUUCGGGAGCUUGUACAGGUGCUGCAUGGCUGUCGUCAGCUCGUGUCGUGAGAUGUCGGUUAAGUCCGCUAACGAGCGCAACCCUCGCUGUGUGUUACAAGUGUCACACGGAACUGCCGGUCAUAAACCGGAGGAAGGUGGGGAUGACGUCAAGUCAGCAUGGCCUUUAUGUCCAGGGCUACACACAUGCGACAAUGGUCGGUACAACGGGUUGCAACACCGCGAGGUGAAGCCAAUCCCUAAAAACCGGCCUCAGUUCAGAUUGCAGACUGCAAUUCGUCUACAUGAAGAUGGAGUUGCUAGUAACCGCGGGUCAGCUACACCGCGGUGAAUAUGUUCCCGGGCCUU
rnacentral:rRNA from 1 species